GGAGCUGCAAUGAGCAGUGAGAGCCGGGACUUGGGAGCUGCAGGACGUCGGGUCGGUACGGGAUGCUAUGGCUGUUUGGCACAGACACUCCUGCUGGGUAGGAAGGAGAUGCUGCAACUCUGUCGGCGCUAUGGAUACCUACAAUUUAUGGCACACAUUAUGGAGGAAUAUGCUAUUUAUGGCUACAGAAAGCAGUGGAUUAGCAGAGCUGGAAAUCUCCUAUAUGUCAAAUACCCUUAUGUCGGAUUUACGUUUUGGAUGCGCUAUGUAUUGGAUUUAGCCUUGCUCUCUUUAUUUGCACAUGGGAUAAUGGAUAUAAAUAUGUGCUCUACUUGUGGAUUGUGUGUUUUAGCCUCUACUGGAACAUAGAGAUGGUACUAUAUCUUAUAUAUCAAAUGGAUCUAUAAUUCGCUUGUGCUCCAGUCAGAAUUGGGUGAACUCAAUGUAUAAAAGGUGGUGUAUGCAGAGAGAUUCUUUGUCUCAAAUACGUUUGGCCUAGCAGUCGUGCUUUUGUGAAGACCAAGGUUAGAUACCACAUAUGACCACAAGGUUCUGAUAACCCAUGACACUGGAAUGGAAUCAUAAUUUUUAGGGUCCAUGUUUGCCUAGCCUUAGUUCAGCCCUACUCUGGGUUUCUAUUUUCUAUAUUAACAUUGCCCAGUGAAAGUGAAGAUGCAUGAAGUGUUUGUUAAAGGGAGGGUUGUGUGUUUGUAGAAGGGUGGUUGGGGAGUAAAAGAUCCUUUAAUCAAGAAAGCAUUUUGGCACUUUCACAGUCAGUAAAAAACAGCAUUUCCAGAGAUAUAUAUUAAUGGGUGAAAUGCAGGCGGCAACACCACAACAUAUAUACAAUAUAUGGGUUUGUUUGUGGGACUAUAUAUAUAUAUAUAUAUAUGGUAAGUUGCUGAAUCUGAAAUAUCAAUAAGUCCCUCAAGUUAACCCCUUGCAAAAGUCUCUAUUAUAAUCAUUCUUUUAUACAUAAUUAUUGCCCUAUUUAGGCACAUUCUGCCCUCAUUAAUAAAUAUUAAUACUGUGGCAAAUCCUUAUAAGCACAUUGGUUUUGUGUAGGUAUUUUCUGUCUGUGAAUUAGAAAAAACGUUCAAUAUGUUUAAUAAAUAUUUUGUAUUGAAAAA